UACGUAGGGUGCAAGCGUUAUCCGGAAUCACUGGGCGUAAAGGGUGCGUAGGUGGCCAGGUAAGUUUGAUGUGAAAGCUCGGAGCUUAACUCCGAAAUGGCAUUGAAUACUAUCUGGCUUGAGGGUCGGAGGGGAGACUGGAAUUCUCGGUGUAGCAGUGAAAUGCGUAGAUAUCGAGAGGAACACCAGUGGCGAAGGCGAGUCUCUGGACGACACCUGACACUGAGGCACGAAAGCUAGGGGAGCAAACA
rnacentral:rRNA from 1 species